rnacentral:rRNA from 11 species
UUCAUCCACUUUACCACACUGAGCAUGCUGGAUCUCAUCAGAGUUCAGAGGCUAAACAGAAUCGGGGCUGGUUAGUAAUUAAUUGGGAGACCACCAGGGAUUCGCAGGCAGGGGGGAU